rfam:Pseudorhodobacter antarcticus strain CGMCC 1.10836 genome assembly, contig: Ga0079835_1004
AAGUGGGACACCCUUCCCCAACGAAGGGCAUUUAUCUGUGAGGAUACCACAU